UACUGCCACCAGAAGGGGAUCCUGCACAGGGACAUACAGCCAAAGAACCUGCUUGUGUGGAUGCUGAACUGAACCUCACGUUUGCAGACUUUGGCUUUAGCAACGAGCUCACCUUUGGCAGCAGGGUAGAUAACUUCUGUGUCAGUGCUUCUUACACUGUCCUGGAACUCUUCUAGGCAACGUACGCAAAAGUACGAUGGCUCUGAGAUGGAUGUUGGCAGCCUGGGAGUCAUUCUCUGUGCAGUGGUCGGUGAUCAUCAGGUUUCUGUCUUACAAUGGACAGAACUAUAGCAGAGCUUCCAAAGUAGGUAUAUAUCACAUUCCCUUUACAUGUCUAUGGAGUAUGAACACCUAAAUAAAUUCCUGCUCCCAAACCCCAGUAAGAGAGGCACUGCAGAGGAAAUCAUGAGGGACCCAUGGAUAAAUGUGGGCUAUGAAGAGGAACUAAAACUACAUCCAGCCACUCCCUGACUCCAGGGAUCCCUGGCACACUGAGUUAAUGCUGUCCUUGGGCUACAUGUAAGGGAAAUUCUGGACUCAUUGAUGGGCUACAGGACACCUCAGCUGGAGGGCCACACCAUCACUGUGAAGUCCUUUCCUUAGCUGAUCCCACCAACUGUUGCCAUCCUUCUCCAUCCUUCCAGGUACAGCCUAGGGUCUCUGCCAGCCCAAAGCAGCGAGCCUGCUCUUCCCACAUUUUCUUUUUCCUCUAAUAGAAAAUCAGUGGCUUGAGGAGGAUCAGGAGUCAGGUUGAAAGGCCAGCAGAACAGUCAAAGUGCCUGCCAGUCUUCUGCCUCACCUUGAGAUGAAGACUGGCCCAGCAAAGCCUCCAGCAUGGCCUUGUGGCCUCCCCCUCCACCCACAGCACCAGCAGCAGUGGUGGAACCCCAGACAGAAUCAACUGUUCCUAGGGUGUGUCCUCCAAAGGAGAACUCCCUUCAUACUGUGCAGCUUUGGUUAGGACCGGCAGAAUUUGCCAGAAUGUAUAACCUCAGCCAUUCCCUCUCGCAACAUUCAGGGCUGGCAGGGGGCCACAGGAGGUUCCUUAUCUUCAUCCACAGACACCUGUGUUUCAGGUUGGCUGGGAAGAUCUGGCAUGUAGCUGGAAUGUGGGGAGUUCAAGCUGUGCUCGCUGCAUUUCACAUGGAGCAGGAAGAUCCUGAGCUCCAUGGAGUCCAAGGACAUGGUGCAGGAGAUCAGCCGGGUGUGGGAUGCAGACAGUUGCAG
rnacentral:lncRNA from 1 species